AUUACCGCGGCUGCUGGCACGUAGUUAGCCGGGGCUUUCUCCUAAGGUACCGUCAUUAUCUUCCCUUAGAACAGAGUUUUACGAUCCGAAAACCUUCAUCACUCACGCGGCGUUGCUGCAUCAGGCUUUCGCCCAUUGUGCAAUAUUCCCCACUGCUGCCUCCCGU
rnacentral:rRNA from 1 species